rnacentral:rRNA from 1 species
UACGUAGGGUGCAAGCGUUGUCCGGAAUUAUUGGGCGUAAAGAGCUCGUAGGCGGUCUGUCGCGUCGGCUGUGAAAACCCGGGGCUCAACCCCGGGCCUGCAGUCGAUACGGGCAGACUAGAGUGCGGUAGGGGAGACUGGAAUUCCUGGUGUAGCGGUGAAAUGCGCAGAUAUCGGGAGGAACACCGGUGGCGAAGGCGGUUCUCUGGGCCUUACCUGACGCUGAGACGCGAAAGCGCGGGGAGCGAACAGG